CCUCAAAAAUGGUCCGACACCGGAUUCUGUGGAAAGCCACACUAAUGGCAUCAUUUCAAAGGAAAACUAUACACAUUUUUAACUCUAGAAAGUUUUUUCUUUCCAAACUAAACUGUAGUUUUACCGUUAUGUUGUUUACCUUUUAUCACAGCCAAUCAGCUUUCACUGGUGUGGCACACAUCUUUAUGCCGGAUGCCCUUCCUGACACGACCCUGUCUUAUUUGGGCCCUCUAGUGGCUGCAUUUGUAGGCAGUAGCGUGAAGCGUCUUCCCCGAGGACCCCGACCAUCCAGCCACCACAUUAUGGAUGUCAUGUUUCUGUGUUUAUUCUAAUGGAGCGAUGGCUUCUGAGGAAGAUGGAUAAGGAAUCCAGAAAAAUAAAAUAACUGAGACACCUGUCACAUCGGGUGCUCAACUAUGGAAAUUCAUAAAAUGGCCAGUGUUCCCCAAAAUGAAAGAAAUGCAGUUCAAAAUGAUAAAAAAAUUAUUACCUAUGGGCAGAGACGUUGAGGAGUAGAUUUGGCUUUGAGGUCGAUCCGUGUGAUUUCUGUCAUACAGCCCCAGAAACACCAGACAGCGGUUUCUUUCAUGUCCAGUGAUCCAAAGAUUCUGGCCAGAUUUUCAUAACUGGCUUAGUCAAAGAAUGAAUCUCAUACAAUUCACAGAAAAAUACAUUUUUUUUAUAACAGUAAGUUGUCAGAGAGACAACAACAUUAGUGGACAUCCUCCCAGUGUUAGAAAUGAGGGGGAAAAAAUGGUUGUCUUCCGGACAAGUAAUAUUUGGUUGUCCUCCCUAUUUUUUGGUGGUCUUUCGAUACCAAUAUUCAACAGCAAUGAAACCUAUUUAGAUGUCCGUACUUACAUCUUUAUUUCUUCUCUACAUCUAAUAUCAACUGCCUCUGAUGGACAUUUGAAAAAAAAACUCUUUGAAUAUUGGAAAACAAACAUUUUACUAAAUAUUGAAACAUCUGGUCACACAAAGUAUUGCAUCUAAAUAAUAAUUUUCCUUAAAAAUCCACCACGUUUAACAUACUUGAGCAUGUGCCAUCAUCCUUGCCAGUGUAGCAAAUGGGUUUUGACAGACAAACUCUUCCUUCAUGGGCACUUAUCUAUAAACACAAUUUUUCCCCUCAUAAGUUUUUUAUUUGGAAUAACAGAUAUAUCCUUUACAAGAACAAAUCUUUAUUUUACAAUAAUUGAUUUGACAAUAAUAUCCUACUGGUGGGUCAGCUCUUUAACCACAAUGGUCAAUUACUUAGAUAUGAAGAAUUUCACCUUAAAUACAACCUUGCUGUUCCUCCUAAAGAGUAUGCCAUUGUUUUUGAUGCUGUCACUAAUGAAAUCUGUGAACUCUUUAAAAAUACUGUACUUGAUGCAAAUAUUCCCUUCAUAUCUCUAAGUGACACCACUAUUGGAAAAUCUUGUUUCAACUGUGCUCGAAAAAAUAACAAGAUCAUACGUGCCCUGUUUCUGCAAAAUGUAAUUUCUGUUCCUUCUGCUGUUUUUUAUUGUAGAAAAUUUAUUCCUGACUUGCCCUGGAAAAAUGUUUGGACCCUGCAUCAGAAAUUAUUAAUUAAUAUCAAGAUGAGAGACGUCUUCUACAAACUCCUACAUAGAAUCUAUCCCACUAAUCAAUACAUGCUGAGAUAUAAGAAGACUCUUGACCCCAACUGUGCCUUUUGUAAAGAACACCCAGAAACAAUCAGUCACCUAUUUUGGAACUGUAAUACUACUAAAAAACUUUGGAAAGAUUGUGCACGUUUUAUAAAUUAUAAAUUAGAUUCACAACAUCAGAUGAAAUUUGAACAUAUCAUAUUUGGCCUACACGAAAAAAAUAUAAGACCAAACGUAAAAUUGGCAAUUAAUCUAAUUAUAAUAUUUGGUCAAUUUCAUAUUCACAAAUCAAAGUUUUCUUCAUCACAACUUUUUUUCCCUUUAAUAAUUAAAGAAUUAGAAUCUUAUUUACAUACUAUUUCUAAUAGUUUAAACAAAAAGGCCAUACAAAUUUAUGAAAACUGUCUGUCUCUGAAUAUUUUCAAUGUAUAGCAUCUGUAAUCUUUUUAUAAUACAUGUACCAUCCCCUGACAUUGUUGUUGUUAUGACUAUUGUUCCUGUCAUACAUAUUUGUUACAUUUGUGUUGAAUAAUAAAGUUUAAAAAAAAGUGUAGCAAAUGGAUUUUUCUUUAAUGAACAUUCUCAAAAUAUUCACAGUGAUGAUUUACUUUUGACAUCACAGUAAUACAUUAAAUAUGAGUUGAGUUAACACAUUAUGUAAAUAAAUAUGUUGUUAAUCUUCCAAUUAUUUUAUUAGAAUAUUUAGUUCCACUCUGUCACUUGUUGCGCAGGGAAGGCAAUUAGUGAGACACACCCUGCCUUCAGCACGCGGCCACUGCUCCUCCCUUUUCAUUUGGAGGGAACAGUCUGUGCUGGUGUUUUUGGUGCCAGUUUUGAUCGCCAUUGUUUCCUUUUGUUCACGUAAGGAGCUGCACUUGUGCUGUCCGCUAAUGCCGCCAUGUUCUUUAGCGCUCUUUAAAGAAAAAUCCACAGAUCAGCUACUGGAAGUGGACACUGUGUUGUUGAAGGAGGAAGUCGACGUCACGCCCGACUUUCUUCUCAUUGAAAUCGGUUAACAAGGUGAUCGGGAUUUUUAAUGGUUGCUGUUAAAUGUCAAUCUGUAUAUUAAAACAAUCAAAUGUAUAAAUGUAAUGUUUUUUUUAAUCAAAAUCAGCUAAUCAAUAAAAUUGAGGGUUUAGGCUUUUAUUUUGAUUCUACAUGUGCAGGAAAAUGUAGGUUAAUGUGGAGCCACUCAAGCACUCCUGUUAUUGUUGCAGUGAAAGACCAAACAAACCUGAGAUCACUGUAAAGAUUUCAAAUGGGACAUUCCAGUGGAUGUGGUGCCUGGAGAUGUCGACUGAUGUCAUUCGCUGGAAAGUAGUAAUUGACUCUAGUCAAGGUGGAAGAGUAGCAGCUCUUUAGCUCUGAUUUUCUGCUGCAUUUACCACCUUAAAUGUUCUGGUGAAUCAUUUUGGACUGACAACUAUUUUGUAUUAACUGAUAACUUCAUUGUCUACCUUGUUUAGCUUCAUCUACCAGCGAAUCAGAAGACAGCGGACCAGAAGUGACCAGACAGCAACUGGAUGCUGAGAAGCCUGUUGACCAGAAGAUUCAUGAAUCGUCUGAAUGCAUCCAGCAUAUUGGAGAUGUGCUGGAUGGGAAUGAAGAGCUCCAAAGGCUCUCAUCACUAAAGCUCCAGGCAGAAUUCCAUCAAUAAUCACCUGGACCAGAGUUUCACCAGAGACCAUUAGUCAGUCAUCUUUUGUUUUUAAAAUUGAUGCCUGGUUGCAUUUUCUUUCUCUGGGAUGCCAUCAGGACAACCAAGAACCCUAACCCUCCUCUGGAAAUCAGCAGCAGUAUUUCUGGCAGCCGCUCUGUUUUAUAGUGACUCUAACUGGCUUCUAUGUGAGACUAAAUAAUCAUUUUCUUCAAAAUCCUCCACGUUUAACAUACUUUUGCAUCCGCCAUACUUACCAGCAGAGUAUGAAAAAUGACAUCUAGAUUUUUGUCUUUCCCUUACCUCACUUAACCCUAACCCCACUUAACCCUAACCCCACUUAACCCUAACCCCACUUAACCCUAACCUCACUUAACCCUAACCCCACUUAACCCUAACCCCACUUAACCCUUACCCCACUUAACCCUUACCUUACUUAAUCCUAACCUAACUUAACCUUAGAAAGCCGGCCAGGCGUGUCCCGGUGAUCAUCUUCUGCUAUUAAAAUUGAUGCCUGAUUGCUUUUUUUUUGUCUCUGGGAUGCCAGGCGUCCCCUGGGGGCUAGAACCAUUUUUUUUUUUCAUUUUUGGUAGGGGACGCCACCACCGCUAUCAUUUUUUUAAGGCUGUGACAGUGGCAGUAGCCAUAAAUAAAAAAAUUUAAAAUCUUGAUACCAGAAUCUUAACUUUCCUCUGAUUUACCUUUUAACCCUUCUAACCCUAUACAUUUAUUUUUUAAUUCAAUUGUUAACUUCUUAAUUUCAGUGUAAAUUGUCAAGCCAUGUUAUAUCACGUUCAAUUGUUCUUUAAUUAAAAAACCCUCCUGUGUCCA